GACAGAGGAUGCAAGCGUUAUCCGGAAUCAUUGGGCGUAAAGAGCGUGUAGGCGGCCCGGUAAGUCCGCUGUGAAAGUCGGGGGCUCAACCCUCGAAAGCCGGUGGAUACUGUCGGGCUAGAGUGCGGGAAGAGGCGAGUUGGAAUUCCUGGGUGUAGCGGUGAAAUGCGCAGAUAUCAAGGAGGAACACCGAUUGCGAAGGCAGCUCGCUGGGACGUAACUGACGCUGAGAACGCGAAAGCGUGGGGAGCAAACAGG
rnacentral:rRNA from 1 species